CCUACGGGUGGCAGCAGUGGGGGAUAUUGGACAAUGGGGGGAACCCUGAUCCAGCGACGCCGCGUGAGUGAAGAAGUAUCUCGGUAUGUAAAGCUCUAUCAGCAGGGAAGAAGGAAUGACGGUACCUGAGUAUGAAGCCCCGGCUAACUACGUGCCAGCAGCCGCGGUAAUACGUAGGGGGCCAGCGUUAUCCGGAAUAACUGGGGGUAAAGGGAGCGUAGACGGUGCUGUAAGUCUGACGUGAAAGGCGGGGGCCCAACCCCCGGACUGCUGUGGAUACUGGGUGACGUGAGUGCAGGAGAGGGGGGUAGAAUUCCAAGUGUAGCGGUGAAAUGCGUAGAUAUUAGGAGGAACACCGGUGGCGAAGGCGGCUCACUGGACUGUAACUGACGUUGAGGCUCGAAAGCGUGGGGAGCAAACAGGAUUAGAUACCCGGGUAGUC
rnacentral:rRNA from 1 species